UUUGGUUACCCAGCUGUAUGAGCGAGGUGCGAUCCCAUAAAGCUGGCUAACCGAAAGG
rnacentral:pre_miRNA from 1 species